UACGUAGGGGGCAAGCGUUGUCCGGAAUCAUUGGGCGUAAAGCGCGUGUAGGCGGCCCGAUAAGUCCGCUGUGAAAGUCCAGGGCUCAACCCUGGAAUGCCGGUGGAUACUGUCGGGCUCGAGUCCGGAAGAGGCGAGUGGAAUUCCUGGUGUAGCGGUGAAAUGCGCAGAUAUCGGGUGGAACACCAGCGGCGAAGGCGGCAUCCUGGCCCUGUACUGACGCUGAGGCGCGAUAGCGUGGGGAGCAAACGGG
rnacentral:rRNA from 1 species